rnacentral:lncRNA from 1 species
CUCGAACGGAGCCGAUGGCUUCUUCGUCGGAGAGUCGAGGAGCUGCCCUUGGCGCUGCCGAGUCGAGGCGCUGCCCUUGGCGCUGCCGAGUCGAGGCGCUGCCCUUGGUGCUGCCGAGUCGACUGCGAGAGAGGCGAGGUGCUGCCCAGUUCUCGAAGCGAGGUGGCGAAGGUGCUGUGAAGUCAAGGUGGUGGAGGUGUGAGGUGAGGUGGCGGAGGUGCGAGGUGCUGCUGAGUGCCGAGUCGAGGUGCCGAAUCGAGAGACUGAGAGAGGCGAGGUUGACGGCGAGAGAGGCGAGGUGCUGCCCAGUUCUCGAAGCGAGGUGGCGGAGGUGCUGUGAAGUCGAGGUGGUGGAGGUGUGAGGUGAGGUGGCGGAGGCAUGAGGUGCUGCCCAGUAGAGGUGGCGGAGGUGUGAGGUGCUGCCGUGUGCCGAGUCGAGGUGCUGAAUCAAGAGACUGAGAGAAUAGAGAGCAGAGACUGAGAGAAGCGAGAGAAGGAUUAGGAACUUAGGGUUAGAUCAACGAUGGAGAUUCAUCUCCACAUAUCAACGGCUUGGAUUAAUAGUUUUAAUUAUUUUUUUAUUAUUUUUAAUAUAACUCGGUUGGUACACGGUAUACUGUAUUUUAGGAAAACUUGUACCAUGUACCAACCGACUCCUCAAACUUGGUACGGUACUACUGUACCGAAAACUCGGUUACCAACUACUUGGCAUACCAAUUUACUUGGUACGGUUGGUACAUGGUUGGUUGGUUUCGCCAGGGUCUAAAUUGCCAGCCCUAAUGUCGUCCAUGAGCCAAUCGGGCCCAACCCAACGACAAGCAAUGCCUGGCUAUAAACUAAGCUAAUGCAUGCGCCAUAGCCACACUAUUGCAAUUUUUUGGAACAUGAACAAACUCAUUCACACCUGAUGUAGCCAUAAGCAUUCUCACCUUCUCCACUAACACGCCCUCUACAGCAAAACACUCACCAUCACCUUUCAUAAGAUUACCGUUAUUAGUGAGAAUUGAACGCCAAACAUUCGUUGCUUGAAGAAGACAUCCCCAUCAAAAGUGUUACUCGAAGCCUGACCAUCCCGGCAUCUCGACUGUUUUUCGUAGAUGCGCAUUAAAGAAGUUUAUUGAAUAAAAGAGUGACUUCAUUCCCUAAUCUAUGUCCUAUAGGAAUUACGUACAUUCCAUUCACCAGUAGUACCCCAAACAUGCCUGCUCAGCUACCACAAUGCCGUCAUAUGGAGACUACUAAAUGAGUGACGUUACGGUUGUGCAAAGGAGGAGUUAAUGAAUGACGAGUAGCUAUAAUACAAUGCCACAAUCGAAGUGGGUGACCAGAAUGAUCCCUGUACCGAGCUUCAGAGUUUGUUUGCUUAUAGUCCGAGUAUAAAAGAUGACGUGAAAUAUGAUGAGAUAGAGAGCCAUGGACAGAUAAUCAUAAAACAUGACAAAUUCUUCUACCAGUAUCAAUUACAUUACUGAGCUUCAUUGCUGAUUUAUUUGAAAGAUCAGGUUCCGGAAGUUGACAUGGUCUCAAGGUUUCAACUACCUUACAAUAGAAUAGGUAAAGCAAAAGACACAAGAACAAACGAUUUCAAAAGUAGCAAAGACAAUUUUCCAAAGCAACAACAUUUGGAUGUAGUUAAGAAAAUUUAAUUUUCAAGCACAAAAGAGACUG